CUCGUAGGCGGUUCAGCAAGUCGGGUGUGAAAACUCUGGGCUCAACCCAGAGCCUGCACCCGAAACUGCUGUGACUAGAGUUCGGUAGGGGAGUGGGGAAUUCCUAGUGUAGCGGUGAAAUGCGCAGAUAUUAGGAGGAACACCGAUGGCGAAGGCACCACUCUGGGCCGAAACUGACGCUGAGGAGCGAAAGCGUGGGUAGCAAACA
rnacentral:rRNA from 1 species